UACGUAGGGAGCAAGCGUUGUCCGGAAUCAUUGGGCGUAAAGCGCGCGUAGGUGGCCCUGUAAGUCCGUUGUGAAAGUCAAAGGCUCAACCUUUGAAAGCCGAUGGAUACUGCAGGACUAGAGUACGGAAGAGGCGAGUGGAAUUCCUGGUGUAGCGGUGGAAUGCGCAGAUAUCAGGAGGAACACCAAUAGCGAAGGCAGCCUCGCUGGGACGUUACUGACACUGAGGCGCGAAAGCGUGGGGAGCGAACAGG
rnacentral:rRNA from 1 species